GGGAGCUUUUGUCUUUGAAGUUAGAAAAGGUAAAGAGAAGAAGUAAAGACUGACAGAAAAAUGACGCAGAUAAAGAGAAGAGAGAAGAGGAUAGAAAGCAGAAAAAAGAAAUCAAAUGUCAUCUCAUCAUGACUCAUGGUGGUCCAACAGUUGUCGGAAUUGAUCUAUCCACCUGGUUCCCAGCUGCCUAAUA
rnacentral:lncRNA from 1 species